rnacentral:rRNA from 1 species
AGUGAACGCUGGCGGCAGGCCUAGCACAUGCAAGUCGAACGGGUCCUUCGGGACUAGUGGCGGACGGGUGAGUAACGCGUGGGAAUAUACCCUUUGGUACGGAAUAGCCUCGGGAAACUGAGAGUAAUACCGUAUGUGCCCUUCGGGGGAAAGAUUUAUCGCCAAAGGAUUAGCCCGCGUUGGAUUAGGUAGUUGGUGGGGUAAUGGCCUACCAAGCCGACGAUCCAUAGCUGGUUUGAGAGGAUGAUCAGCCACACUGGGACUGAGACACGGCCCCAGACUCCUACGGGAGGCAGCAGUGGGGAAUCUUAGACAAUGGGGGAAACCCUGAUCUAGCCAUGCCGCGUGAUCGAUGAAGGCCUUAGGGUUGUAAAGAUCUUUUCAGAU